rnacentral:rRNA from 1 species
UUUAAUUCGAAGCAACGCGAAGAACCUUACCUAAGCUUGACAUCCCAAUGACAUCUCCUUAAUCGGAGAGUUCCCUUCGGGGACAUUAGUGACAGGUGGUGCAUGGUUGUCGUCAGCUCGUGUCGUGAGAUGUUGGGUUAAGUCCCGCAACGAGCGCAACCCUUGUCUUUAGUUGCCAUCAUUAAGUUGGGCACUCUAGAGAGACUGCCAGGGAU